GACGAACGCUGGCGGCGCGCCUAACACAUGCAAGUCGAGCGAAGCGGCGCACGGGUGAGUAACGCGUGAGGAACCUGCCUCUCACAACGGGAUAGCCUCGGGAAACCGGGAUUAAUACCGUAUGGUGAGAGGUGGCCUCGCGGCUGAAUAGUUGGCUGGUGGGGUAACGGCCUACCAGGACGACGAUAAGUAACCGGACUUGGAGGGUGAACGGUCACAUUGGAACUGAGACACGGUCCAAAAUCCUAAGGGAGGCAGCAGUGGGGGAUCUUGCACAAUGGGGGGAACCCUGAUGCAGCGACGCCGCGGGAGCGAUGAAGGUUUUCGAAUCGUAAAGCUCUGUCCUAUGGGAAGCGGUACCAUAGGAGGAAGCCCCGGCUAACUACGUGCCAGCAGCCGCGGUAAUAC
rnacentral:rRNA from 1 species